rnacentral:tRNA from 3 species
GCCAAAGUAGUUCAAUGGUAGAACACUGCUUUCGUAAAGCAGGAACGUGAGUCCGAUUCUCACCUUUGGCUCCA